UAUCAAUAAGCGGAGGAAAAGAAACCAACAGGGAUUGCCUCAGUAACGGCGAGUGAAGCGGCAAAAGCUCAAAUUUGAAACCCUCGGGAUUGUAAUUUGAAGAUUUGGCAUUGGAGAAAGCUAACCCAAGUUGCUUGGAAUAGUACGUCAUAGAGGGUGACAACCCCGUCUGGCUAACCGUUCUCCAUGUAUUGCCUUAUCAAAGAGUCGAGUUGUUUGGGAAUGCAGCUCAAAGUGGGUGGUAAACUCCAUCUAAAGCUAAAUACUGGUGAGAGACCGAUAGCGAACAAGUACUGUGAAGGAAAGGUGAAAAGAACUUUGAAAAGAGAGUGAAAUAGUAUGUGAAAUUGUUGAUAGGGAAGGAAAUGAGUGGAGAGUGGCCGAGGUUUCAGCCGCCCCUCGUGGGCGGUGUACUGCCGACGCCGAGUCAUCGAUAGCGAGACGAGGGUUACAAAUGGGAGCGCCUUCGGGCGUUCUCCCCUAACCCUCCACACUGCCACCGACGACAUAAUCCACCCAUUUCACCCGUCUUGAAACACGG
rnacentral:rRNA from 1 species